rnacentral:rRNA from 1 species
UGGAGCGGUUCGCCGCCGACGACGUCGCGAGAAGUCCACUGAACCUUAUCAUUUAGAGGAAGGAGAAGUCG